rnacentral:rRNA from 1 species
CCUACGGGAGGCAGCAGUGAGGAAUAUUGGUCAAUGGACGAGAGUCUGAACCAGCCAAGUAGCGUGAAGGAUGACUGCCCUAUGGGUUGUAAACUUCUUUUAUAUGGGAAUAAAAUGUUCCACGUGUGGGAUUUUGUAUGUACCAUAUGAAUAAGGAUCGGCUAACUCCGUGCCAGCAGCCGCGGUAAGACGGAGGAUCCGAGCGUUAUCCGGAUUUAGUGGGGUUAAAGGGAGCGUAGGUGGAUUGUUAAGUCAGUUGUGAAAGUUUGCGGCUCAACCGUAAAAUUGCAGUUGAAACUGGCAGUCUUGAGUACAGUAGAGGUGGGCGGAAUUCGUGGUGUAGCGGUGAAAUGCUUAGAUAUCACGAAGAACUCCGAUGGCGAAGGCAGCUCACUGGACUGCAACUGACACUGAGGCUCGAAAGUGUGGGUAUCAAACAGGAUUAGAUACCCUAGUAGUC